UGUUUAUGCACUUUGUAUGUUGACUCUAUUAUGCAAAUAUUGUUUUUACUAACCAAUACUUUAACCACGCUCCAACUGAGCUGCUGCUGUUCACCGAGGACCAAAAGGUGAGUGUGAGCAUAACGACUAUAUAUCAUCACCAAGUUUAUCUGUAGAAAUAUAGGAAUAUAAUUAGAGUACGAGCUUGUGACCUGUAAGAAUAAAAUAAAACCUGAGUAACUUGGUUCUCCGCGUUACAUCACCGAUUCAAUGAUCAAAAUGUAAUAUGUGUUACUCACUGUUAUUUUUAACAGGCCGCUACCUCUCGCUGUGGACUAAAAGAUGAGUAAGAGUAUCUGACUUCUGUAAUAUGUAUAUAAAGUAAUGUGUGUUAUUGUGUAAACUAGCUCUUUGUGCACCUCAGUAUCCUUAAACUGUCACUAAUUCAAUAACUCAAAGGUGUUUGUGCCCCAGACAGAAAAGUGUCAAUAGUGAAUGAUAACAUCAAUAUUUAGGUAUAUUUGCUGGCCUUUCUCACUAUGACGUCCACACAGGGAGCAGCAAAGGAGGAAGAGCCGGACUCCGGGUUCCUGCAGGACAUCCAGGGCUACACGUUGAACACUAAAAAGAAACGCCCACAUUCCACUCCCAGGACAAGAUGGAGAGCAGCUAAGUUGAACUACUUCCUGUUCUUCUGUUUCAGAGACUCAACUUCCUGCACUACAUCCAGGGUGACCAUGACGACAGAAGACAAUCGCUCACUCCCGACCAGGUGAGAAGGACCGUGACCAGAGGAGAGCUUUAGGCGUCCACGGUUCAGUGGAGGCAGCACUCCUGUUUUAUCCUUUGGAAAUCCUCGUGGUCCUGAGAGUGGAUGUAAACAGAAGUGCAAGCAGCCGUCCACUCAGAACAUUUCUCCACCUCACUGUUUAGAUGAAGAAUUCAAUAAAACACUUCUCAUAGAA